CCUACGGGAGGCUGCAGUGGGGAAUAUUGCGCAAUGGGGGAAACCCUGACGCAGCAACGCCGCGUGAGUGAGGAAGUAUCUCGGUAUGUAAAGCUCUAUCAGCGGGGAAGAAGGAAGACGGUACCCGACUAAGAAGCCCCGGCUAACUACGUGCCAGCAGCCGCGGUAAUACGUAGGGGGCGAGCGUUAUCCGGAUUUAUUGGGUUUAAAGGGUGCGCAGGCGGCCUGGUAAGUCAGCGGUAAAAGCCCGGGGCUCAACCCCGGCGAGCCGUUGAAACUGGCGGGCUGGAGUUGGAGAGAAGUACGCGGAAUGCGCGGUGUAGCGGUGAAAUGCUUAGAUAUCGCGCAGAACCCCGAUUGCGAAGGCAGCGUACCGGCUCCACACUGACGCUGAGGCACGAAAGCGUGGGUAUCGAACAGGAUUAGAUACCCUAGUAGUC
rnacentral:rRNA from 1 species